UACGGAGGAUCCAAGCGUUAUCCGGAUUCAUUGGGUUUAAAGGGUGCGUAGGCGGAAUGAUAAGUCAGUGGUGAAAGCCUGCAGCUUAACUGCAGAACUGCCAUUGAUACUGUCAAUCUUGAGUACAUUUGAUGUGGGCGGAAUGUGUCAUGUAGCGGUGAAAUGCUUAGAUAUGACACAGAAACACCGAUUGCGAAGGCA
rnacentral:rRNA from 1 species